UACGAAGGGGGCUAGCGUUGCUCGGAAAUCACUGGGCGUAAAGCGCACGUAGGCGGCUUUUUAAGUCAGGGGUGAAAUCCUGGAGCUCAACUCCAGAACUGCCUUUGAUACUGAGAAGCUCGAGUCCGGGAGAGGUGAGUGGAACUGCGAGUGUAGAGGUGAAAUUCGUAGAUAUUCGCAAGAACACCAGUGGCGAAGGCGGCUCACUGGCCCGGUACUGACGCUGAGGUGCGAAAGCGUGGGGAGCAAACAGG
rnacentral:rRNA from 1 species